rnacentral:tRNA from 1 species
GGAUUAGCUCAGUGGUUUGAGCGCGGUGCUGACAACAAGGACAACACCGAGGUCGCGGGUUCGAUUCCCGCUCGAUCCC